AACCUACCUUAGGAAAGAUAAUAUCAUAUCACUUUUGAGAGCUCUUUUGCCAACUUUGAGUUUUACCAUGGAGGAACGUCAAGGAUUUGCCAUGGAGGAGGACUUACAUUAAGCAGUAGUGCUUAAGCUCGCCCCAUAUGCACCAGAUCUCAAAGAACUACAAGUAUUACUACCAAAACACCUUGGUGUUAAUGGUGGCUGCCUUAUAGGGUAACUUGCACCAAGACAACUUUUAAGGUUUGAUCAAUAUGAAGAUUAUGUACAUGCUCUAUCUCUUUCAGUAAAUUAAUUUUUUAUGAAAUGGUGAUGAGCAUCAAUAUUGAGUCUACCCCUACACGAUAUUUUAAUCCAAAGCAGGAAACAACAAUGACAGUGAUUUGGAUUUCUUUGCCAAACUUGUCUCCAGAUUUAUCUGUAAUGCCGUUCGUUGUUUUCAAUUGCAUUUGUGUAUUGGGAAAAAAUUGAAUUUGAAUUAAAGAUGAUGUGGCAUGACACGUGUACUAGUCAAAUAGUCAAAGAGCAAUAAUGAUUAAAAGGCACG
rnacentral:lncRNA from 1 species